AGUGAACGCUGGCGGUAGGCCUAACACAUGCAAGUCGAACGGCAGCACAGGAGAGCUUGCUCUCUGGGUGGCGAGUGGCGGACGGGUGAGGAAUACAUCGGAAUCUACCCUGUCGUGGGGGAUAACGUAGGGAAACUUACGCUAAUACCGCAUACGACUUACGGGUGAAAGCAGGGGACCUUCGGUCCUUGCGGGAUCGAAUGAGCCGAUGUAGGAUUAGCUAGUUGGCGGGGAAAAGGCCCAACAAGGGGACGCUGCGUAGCUGGUCUGAGAGGAAGGACAGGCGGACUGGAACUGAGAAACGGUCCAGACUCCUACGGGAGGCAGCAGUUGGGAAUAUUGGACGAGGGGCGCAAGGCUGAUCCAGCCAUACCGCGUGGGUGAAGAAGGCCUUCGGGUUGUAAAGCCCUUUUGUUGGGAAAGAAUAAAAUUAUUGAGAGAAGCGGUAAUUGAUGACGGUACCGUAUGAAUAAGCCACGGCUAACUACGUGCCAGCCGCCGCGGUAA
rnacentral:rRNA from 1 species